GGUUCUUUGUCCGAGAGGCUUAAGGAGCACGCCUGGAAAGUGUGUAGCUUGGAAACAGGCUCAAGGGUUCGAAUCCCUUAGGAACCGCCA
rnacentral:tRNA from 1 species